rnacentral:rRNA from 1 species
GACGAACGCUGGCGGCGUGCUUAACACAUGCAAGUCGAACGGAAAGGCCCUGCUUUUGUGGGGUGCUCGAGUGGCGAACGGGUGAGUAACACGUGAGUAACCUGCCCUUGACUUUGGGAUAACUUCAGGAAACUGGGGCUAAUACCGGAUAGGAGCUCCUGCUGCAUGGUGGGGGUUGGAAAGUUUCGGCGGUUGGGGAUGGACUCGCGGCUUAUCAGCUUGUUGGUGGGGUAGUGGCUUACCAAGGCUUUGACGGGUAGCCGGCCUGAGAGGGUGACCGGCCACAUGGGGACUGAGAUACGGCCCAGACUCCUACGGGAGGCAGCAGUGGGGAAUAUUGCACGAUGGGCGGAAGCCUGAUGCAGCAACGCCGCGUGCGGGAUGACGGCCUUCGGGUUGUAAACCGCUUUCGCCUGUGACGAAGCGUGAGUGACGGUAAUGGGUAAAGAAGCACCGGCUAACUACGUG